ensembl:misc_RNA Y_RNA Y RNA
GGCUGGUCCCAGUGCAGUGGGUGUUUACAACUAAUUGAUCACAACCAGUUACAGAUUUCUUUGUUUCGUCUUCACUCUCACUGCUUCACUUGACUAGCCUUAA